UUGGAGGGCAAGUCUGGUGCCAGCAGCCGCGGUAAUUCCAGCUCCAAUAGCGUAUAUUAAAGUUGUUGCAGUUAAAAAGCUCGUAGUUGAAACUUGGGCCUGGCUGGCAGGUCCGCCUCACCGCGUGUACUUGUCCGGCCGGGCCUUUCCUUCUGGAGAACCUCAUGCCCUUCACUGGGCGUGUUGGGGAACCAGGACUUUUACUUUGAAAAAAUUAGAGUGUUCAAAGCAGGCCUUUGCUCGAAUACGUUAGCAUGGAAUAAAGGAAUAGGACGUGCGGUCCUAUUUUGUUGGUUUUUA
rnacentral:rRNA from 1 species